GUGAAAGGUACAGCAAUAUUUGCAGGGAACAUCUGUAACUGGUUCCUGUGCUUUCUGCCUAGGGACAGGACCCAGGUUCUUUUCUUGAGAGACCCAUCAGUUGGGUCAGCAACACCUCUGCACUAGUACUGGCAAGGGCCAGCACUUCACCAAAGAAUUCCUGACAUGUUUCAGUGGAGACACAGAAAUUAUGUUUAAAGAGAGCUCAGGACUUAACCUGGAAAUGACUCACACUGAUUUAUUGCUUUGGAAAUAAGCCAGAUUUACAGCACGUAAAGGUCAGGUCUUUUCCUUCCCCUCCCCUCCAAAUGUGUUAUGAUAUUCUCCAUGGACUAUGCUACAGCUGAUUUUCAGUCCCAACCACCUGUCUCAGGAAGACUCAUGCAGCACAUCUGUGAGGGCUCAAGUCUUACCAAGAUGGACAGCAGUACAAAACUCCCUGACAGAUGGGAAUGCAGGACAUCAAAACUCUCAGACUCAGUCAGAUCUAUUCUUAUUUUCUAACCUUAGCUGUGGCCUUCAAACUGCUCUUGUAAAUAGACACAAUGCACUGUGGUAAACAAAAUUUUAAUGCUGCUGCUAAACUGCUUAGUGUGCACAAAUACCCUGUAACUAUGCUCCUUCCAGUCAGAUGCAGUAUAUACUUUACAUUUCCCUUGUACAGCACGUAUAUAUAAAUACAUGUGUGAUCAGCUGAGACUAAAAGAGCAUAUGAUCUUCCAGUGCUUUUCUUUUUAAUCUUGAUGAGAAAGUUGCACAAAGAAUUGUGCACAUUAAGCACAUUUUAGUCUCCAUGAGUUGUCUCCACUUCAGUCUCCUCUAAAUUUAAAGAGGCCUAUUGUGUAAGAGAAAACAGGAAAGGAAAGAUUUUUUUUCUAUUAUUAUUUGAUGGUGGCAAAUUUUCUUUCCAGUUUUCUAUAAAAAAAGCCCAGAAAAACCUUUUCUCCUUAGAAUAGUGACAAAUAGAAAGAACGGAAUAUGUUUCAGGAAUAUUUUAAUCUCUAUGAAAUGGUUACCUAUUCAGGGGAACAAAGCUGGUUUUUAUAUACCCCCCACCUCUUCCUUCCCAAACUAGACCAGCGGCCCAGCCCUUUGGCUUUCAACUCCCUAAGAACCCGCUAGCAGACACAAGCACUCCUAAAUAUUUCUUGCACUUCUGAAAAGUCCCAUUUUUCAAAUAUAAAUCUGGAGUCUCAGGUUGAACUCCUGGCCUCCUAAAUUUAGCUGCUAUUAAACACUAAUAACAAGGGAGAGUGUUGGUACAGGAAAGACAAAAGCAGCCUGACAUCAGAAGUCUUUGCCUCCUACUUCCCCAGAGCACCAUAAUGGCGACCUACUAAUGCCUUCUUAAGCUUUCCAUCCCUUGCUGAACUUUUAAGACCUUUUUGAUUUUUUGGUAACUCAUGUUACAGUACAGAAUCUUGAAUGUUUUAGCAAAAAAAGUUACCCUGUAAGACUUACCAAAAAAAGCUCAGUAUCGCUCUGUUCUUACUUACAUGUUAGUAUUUUGUUUACAGUGUAUUUAAAGCGACUGUAAAUUCAGAAACCACGACAAGGUGAACUACAAGUGGAAAUAAAGGAGUCUAAGCAAAAUUAAAAGAUAUAGGAAAAAUGGUAAACCAGACUGGAUCCGAGAUCAAAAGUAUUUGUGCCAUCUUUUGUGAAUGUUAAAUAUCAAUUAUUUAACUGAACAAUUAAAAACUAAUGACAUAAUCAUCACCAAAGAAAUCUAACAAAUAGUCGGCAUUUUUUAUUUUGUUAUUAUAUGGGUUCCAGCAUUGCUGUCACUGCUACUUACUUUUCA